rnacentral:lncRNA from 1 species
GAUGAGCCCCUGCGCGGGCAGCGCAAUGGUCUGGCCCUGCGUGGAGCCCAGGCCAGGCCCCCGGUUGACCGUCUGGCGGAUGCGCAGGAAGCGGCCGCGCUGGUUCUCCUUGAGAUCCAUGUAGUACUUGCGGUUCUCGCGCACCAGGAACUCGCUUUUGAGCGCCCGGCGCGGCUCGUCCUGCGCCUGGGCCAGGUCCGGCGGCUGGCUGGGGCCCAGCUGCGCGUAGUGCUCGAUGAAGUCGCCCAGGUAGUCGCGGAACUCCACGGCCACUGACAUGGAGAGAGUAAGGCGGCUCUUGUUGCCGCCCGCGCCCACCUCGGCGAUCUUCAGGAAGCGGCCCUUGGCGUUCUGCUUCACGUCCAGAAAGAGCCCCAUUCUACUCAGCAUUAGCUACUUCAGCCCUGGGCUGAAGUUUGCGACUUCCUACUGAAAAGAAACAAGAAGCACCUGGCCACCAAGGAGCAAACAGGCGCUGUCCUGUGCACCCGUCUCAGAACCACCCACCUAUGUCCAGUGGUCCCUGAAAUGGCUCUCUGAAGGGAAGGCUCCACACCAAGAGAUAAAAACCCAGACUUUGGGCCCCAUAAAGAACUUCCCCUUAUUUGGGAGGCAACCUCUAGUACCCUGUAGUACUCUUUCCGUGUUGAUUUUUUCUGCACUCCUUCCCCUGUCCCAAAGUCUAUUGAGAAGGGGACACAGGAACUUUUGAAGCACUUUGAACUGCACAGAAAUACACGUGUGAAGAAGCAGUAACUCCUCCAGGCUCGAACAGUAGCAAUCAGGACUCUGGAUAGACCCCAGCGCCUCCAGGGACAAAAAGGCUCAGUAGCAGGCUCUCCACAGAGAAUGGAGUGGGACAUUAUGUUUCACUUGUAAACUGAGGCUAAGAUCUGGUACAAUCCGAUCUAGAAGGGCUGCUGCUCUUCCUCAAGAGUUUACCUUGCGUCAAACCAAGCCCCUGCUCCCUAAUGAAAACUCAAGGCAGCAACAAGGCCAAUGAGAAUACGAUGAGGGCCCCACCCACCCCCCCUGCCAGUCCCUGCCUUUCUUCCGUGCUGAUUGCUGCCCCCAGGACAGAAGACUAAGACUCGAAACUGCCCCGCCUUCCUAUCCCAACUUCCCGCCUUCGUAUCCCAACUUCCCGCCUUCCUAUCCCGACUUGCAGUCUAAAUUUUCUUGCCCUCCGUCCUAGACGUCUAUAUACAGGGAUUCCGAAUGAUUUGAGUUUGGAAGUGCCCUGUUUUUCUGAAAAAGUGACUGCCACCAAGAACUGACUUCUUAGUUACCCAGCGCAGAGGCAACUGAUGAAGUUUCCAGACAGAACACAAGUUGAAUCUCAUUUGUACACUUAAACUGGGAAUUUUAAGGUCAAAUCAGCAAAUUACUGGGACCUAGAUCUCUCCACAUAAAUAUGUACUUGUUUUAUGCUAUUCAUUAUAUAUGUAUAAAACUUUUGCCCUUAUUUGCCAGCUUCUCUACUUUAUAUGUGUAUCUAAAAAGCAAACAAGAUUAACAAUGCCUUUCCAAAAUAAUUCAAUGAUAAAUAGGAUUUUUAGCAUAUUUUCACUACUGAAACGAGAGUUAAUUUCAGAAUAAGCCUUUAAGUGUGGGCUUUUUCUCAGACUAAGGAGGUGAAAGGCAGCUUUCUUUGGGCUAUAGUGUACAGUAGCCUUAAAAGGCAAUCUGGGAGAAAUGAAUAUAAACUUCCAGAAGUCUUAAAACAAAAAGUUUAAACUUUAAAUAAAACUUCACAGUUAUAUUUGCAUUGUAACACUGAAAAGUCAUUAGAAAAUAAGUGGAUUUUAAGACUUCUAACCAUUUGUUAAUAAUCUAAACAAUAUACUAACUUGGUGAAUGAAGUCUGUUCUAGUAUCCAGCUGUUUGAAUUUGUUAAUGUAAAACAAAUAGUUGUAAAACUAAAUGUAUAAUUUCAUUAGAAUGUAGGAAAGACAAAGGGAAAACGAAAUAUACAGCAAAUUAAUAUGCAGCAAAAAUCCAUGUUAAUGAAAAACAUCAAAAAGUAAACAUUUCCUUUCUCCUCACAAUAUGCUUACAAAGACAUAAUGUCUCUAGAUUUCUUGAGCCCUUUUAUUAUUAAUACAACAGACACAUUUUAAAGAGAAUAGAGACUGCUUUAUUUUUAAUCCCACUGUCUCUAUGUAUUUAACAAACUCUUACCAACAAAAAAUUGUGCGCAAAGAAAUACACAUUAGGCAGAACAAAAAAGAAAAAAGCUUUAAUUUUCUUCAGCCUGACUACAGGUGAUUCUGAAAUAAUCUAAUUCAGUUUUGGUUUUAUAAAGUAAAAAUCAACACACAUUUAUAAAAUAGACUUGGAAAGAGGUUGUCUACCUCUGGGUAGUAAACCCUUCUGAUUAUAGAGUUCCUAAUAGAAACAAUAUGUUGAUUAAUAUUUUACAAAAUCACAAAUUUCCAAAAUAAAGAACAUUAGAGCUUGUGUUUUCAAGUGAUACUUAGAUUAAAUACCAGUCUUAAACCAGACAACUAUCUUCAAUACCCAAAUCAUUAAAACUAACUGGGAUGUUGUACUGUAAAUGUUCAAAGUGGAGGAAUUAGCCAUUUCUUCUCAUGACUGUCUACCAAAAAAAUUGAGAAACUCUCAAAUAAAUCUUAACAUUUAACAACAACAAUGACUAAUAGUAACAGCAUUUCCCAGAUCGUUCUUUAAAAGCGUAUUCCUUUUCCAUAGCUCACUUAAUCUUGAAAAUCAUGCCUCUUCAAUGCUAUUUUAAUGUUUCGGAUUAAAGAUAUGAAGUAAACAUUUAAUAUAUGAAGAGAACAAUCCACUUGAUAAAAAUCCUCGCAUUUCCAAAAUGUUUUCAUUUUAAGCAUUUGCAGAAGUUAAAUAAAUGUAGCAGACAUUCUAAAUUCGAUAAAAAAUUCAGAGAACCCGACAUUUUAUGUACCCCAAAGGUCCAAACAGAACCGAUGUAAAUGUCAAUAGCUGUCUCCCUUCCGGCUGAUACUUAAAUGGUUUUACUAGUACUCAAAGCAAUGAAAUCAGCAACUCUCUCUCCACACUCUAGUCAACACUCCAAUUUCCAAAGCCGCAAUUCGCAAACGUCAGUUGGGCGGGGGCGGUGGGGGAUCUUGAAGUAAUCCAAAAAUUUCCUUUCCCCUUUGACAGUCCACCAAAAGAUGUCAAACCAAAUCCAGCCUAUUGUAAAGCUCUGGGACCUCCCUUCCAAGGACACCGAACACAAGCUUAGACACCGCUGCGAAAAGCUGUCCAAAAGCGCCUGGCCGGACAGAAAUGUAAGGAGCCCAGGCCAAAACGAAUUAGAACCCCCAACAGAGGGUCCCGCAGACACCGCGGAAAAGAAGGUGGCAUUUAUUCCGGGGUAGACAGCUACGAACCAGUUACCCCAGCCAGUCUCUGGGGGCUCUCCAACCCAAGUUCAGGUUUAUGGCAGAUAUAUUGGUUGGGUGCCUUCCCCUACAAACAUCACAGCCCGCCUCCGGGGCCCACCGCCGCUCACAGAGAAGACCCCUCAGCUUCACAUCCGUUCCUUUUGCCCUCGGACAAAGGCAGAGGAGCUGUGGAGCUGACCCAGCGCUGUGGGGCAGUAAAAAUGCCUUGUUCGGGCCACCCAUCUUUGGGCCCGGCUUCAUCUGCGAUGUCAGCACCAAAGGUUUUUUUUUUUUUUUUCCUGGUUUUGUUUUGUUUUUACAACGCAUCCUGGGCGGGUGUAUGCAUUUGGUGGUAGUGGGGUGGGGGGAACCGAACAGAGGAGGGGUUGGCAGUGAAGCCUGGGUUAUAGAACUCUCCUUCCUCUCCCUCCUUCCAGGGUUGCCGUGCAGGGAGUGUCAGCCACGUCUAGCGCACAGUCCCAGGCCCCAGGGCGAAGGCGGCCAGGGGAAAUGGGGCUCAGGGAUUGCUAAGCAAACGCAUCACUGGUGGUCUCCAGCGCCUGCGGAGGUAGGAUCGCCUCUUUUCUUAAGGGGCGUGUUAUUUUGUUCUCUUUUGAAAGUAGGAGGGGGUUCAUUCGUUUCUCGCUGCGGGGGGUGGGAGAGAACGUUGCUGCACCGCCUGGGUCUCCAAGAGGGAGGGUGCGGGGAUGUCUGCAAUGGUACUAUAAUUAUUCCUGGGCUGAGAGAGCAAGUAAAGGGGACGGGGCGAGCGUCACCUGGAGCUGUGGCAGUGGCAGCAGGGAAGGUCGCGAGGGGCUUACCCGGGCGGGCGGGCGCUGUCCUGCCGCAGGUGAGGGAGGGCGCAGGCUGGCGGGAGGGAGGGCGCGCGCGAGACAGGCGCGAGGAAGGGGGGAGGGGAGGAGGGCGCGCGCGCGCACACCUGUCCUGGACAGCGGCGCUAGCCGAGCUGCGCCUCACUUAGGCUCUGCGGGCUGAGGAGGAAGGAGGGCGGGCUGGCGGGCGGGGGCGGGACGCCGAGGGGAGGAGGAGGAGGCGGCUCGGAUGGCUGGCUCGGCUCUCGCUCGCUCUCCCUCCCAUGGGCAGUGCCUGAUGGCUGAGAAGAAUCGCAGAGGACUAGAAAAGGUUUGAGUCUGAAAUUAUCUGGCACAGAGGAUUAAAGCUCAGAAAUAAGUGAUUGCGAAACAGUUCAACUUCCCUGUUAAUGACAACAACAACAGCAACACGCUUAUUAAUUCCUAGCUGGAGCAUCAAGCUUAUGAAGAUUUCCAAGACUUUAUUGUUGACCCUUGUUGAAGAGAACUCUACUUGGCUUCUUUCCUGGCUUUCCUAAAUUGUUCACAUACAAGAUAAACUACCGUCAUUCAGACUUACAGAAGUGAGAAGACAAGCUGAACCAAAUGUAAAAUGGUAGCAAUUUACAGAUGUCAGAACUAACAUGUGGAUGAACUUAGAGAUGGAGAAGAAAGCUGGGCUUUUCCAAAGAGUGGAUCUAUCUGAACUGGAUAGCACUAUUGAACUUUGUUGCAUAUUUUGUGGUAGCUCUAAAACUCCUCUGCUUGCUUACAUACAACCAGACACCAGUGCCUUCUGAAGCUAAUCCAGGCCAUUUUUAUAACCUAAUGCAGUAGCACUUUGCAAUUAGAUGAAGAAGAUCGGUGGGAUUUCUUUCUGUGGUGAUUAAAAUGUGUCAGGGGAAGAAAUCAAGACAAUACUCCAAGUGAAAAAUAUAAAGUCAGUUAUUUCUUUAAUAUUUUGUGUUAUAGUAAUCAUUUUUAUAUUUUGAGCAUACUUUUUCUUGUCUACUUAAAUACUCAAAAUUAAUUAUAAAAUGUAAAUGUAAGCACAAUGAGAUACCAUCUCAUCCCAGUUAAAAUGGCUUUUAUCAAAAAGAUAGGGAAUAAUGAAUACUGGUGGAAGGAUGUGGAGAAUGGGGAACCCUCGUACACUGUCAAUGAGAAUGUAAAUUAGUACAGCCACUAUGGAAAACUGUAUGGAAGUGCCUCCGAAAACAAAGUAGAACUACCAUGUGAUCCAGCAAUUACACUAGUGGGUAUAUAUUCAAAAGAAAGGAAAUCAACAUAUUAAAGAGAUAGCUGCAUUCUCAUGUUUAUUGAAGUCCUGUUGAAAUAGCCAAAAUAUGGAAUCAACCUAAGUGCCCAUCAGUGGAUGAAUGGUUAAAGAAAAUGUGAUUGAUAUGCAAUGGAAUAUUAUUCAGCCAUAAAAAAGAAUGAAAUCCUGGCGGGGCACAGUGGCUCAUGCAAGUAAUCCCAGCACUGACCUCAUGAAGACAGAGAGUAGAUUGGUGGUUACCAGAGGUUGAGAAGGGGAGAGGAGAGGAGGGAUGAAGAGAGGUUGAUUGAUGGAUAGAAAUAUACAGUUUGAUAAUGAUAAAUCAGUAGGGUGACUAUAGUUUAUAAUAACCUAUUGUAUGGUUCAAAAUAGCUAAAAGAGAAUAAUUGAAAUAACGUAAGACAAAAAUUUAAGAUGAUAGAUAUCCCAAUUACACUGAUUUGAUCUUUACAAAUUAUAUGAAUGUAUUAAAUUAUUACAUGUAUCCCCAAAAUAUGUACAAGUAUUUUGUAUCAAUAAAAAAUAAAAUUUAAGAUAAAGUAAAUGUAAUGAUUAGCUUAUAUUUCCUAGAUCGGAAAUAAAUAUUUACUUAAGUAUGUUUAUGAUGAAGAGUUUUUUUAUAUUACUAUAAAAAUAGACACCUUACAUAAACAUAUUACAGUUGGUGUUUAGAUGGCUCUUUUUUUUCUGGCCUUGAAUUUCUGGAAAGUAGGUAUGGCCUGCUAUGUCAGGACUAGUUCUUGGAAUUCUUUGUUGUUUUUCAGUCAGCCUUAUUUUCUUGGGUCAUGUUUUGAACAAUAUUUAUCAAAUGUCUGUUUACCAGACGUUGUUCCAGAUGCUUGAACAAAAUGAAAUGUCUGCUGUCAUAGAGUUUCCAGUCUAUGUAAGACAGUAAACAAAUGUAUAAUAUAAUGCUAGAUAGUGAUAAGUGCUAAAAAGAAGAAGAAAAUAGGAAAGGGGAAAGAGAGUUUCUGUGUGAUUGUAUGUGAAAGUGUCCAUGCAUGCCGCUCACCCAGUAUUUUAAAUAGAGUGAUCAAGGAAGCCUGUCUGAAGAAGUAACAUUUGAACAGAGAUCUGAAAUAGUCAGUCACGGGAACAUUUAGGGAGAUGUUCCAGGCAGGCAUUGUGGACAAUUUAUGUCACAAAAAAGUCACCCAAGUGUUAAGUCAAGUAACAUCCUGUAUGAUAACUAUAUAUACAUUUUUUUGUUUUUUCUUAAGUGAAAAACAAACUUAUUAGGUUUUCUGGGUACUCAUUAGGUUUUCAGAAAAGUUUUUCAUUUAAUAUCAUUAUUGCUGUAUAUUUCCCUUAAUGAUUAUUCUAUUAUUUAAUACAUAAGAUUUAUGGCUCUACAGAUACAGCUUCACAAUCCCUUAUCUGUAAUUCCAAAAUACAAAAAAAUUUCUUAAUUCAUUUAGUGGCAAAAUCUGAACUGACAUGAAUCUAUUUAAAAUUAUCCUUUAUGGGCCAGGUGCAGUGGCUUACGCCUAUAAUCCCAGCACUUUGGGAGGCCAAGGCAGGAGGAUCACUUGAGGCCAGGAGUUUGAGACCAGCCUGGCCAACAUGGUGAAAUCCCAUUUCUCCUAAAAAUACAAAAAUUAGCUGGGUGUGGUGGCACAUGCUUGUGGUCCCACCUACUUGGGAGGCUGAGGCACGAGAAUCACUUGAACCUGGGAGGUGGAGGUUGCCGAGAUCUUGCCACUGCACUCCAGCCUGGGUGACAGAGCGAAACUCUUGUCUCAAAAAAAAAAAAAGUAUUUAUUCCAUUUAGUGUGACUACUGAUACAUUUCAUUGUAGAAACAUUAGUGUGUUUGAUGAAGGGUUGCUACACAUUAAGUAAAAUAUAGAUAAUACAAUGUAUUGUACCCUAAAAUAUAAAAAAAAUUAAAUCCAGAAACACGUGUUCCCAAGAAUUUUGGAUAAGGGAUUGUAGAUCUGUGUCAGAUUUCUUCUUGAUUUUCUGAUUAAAUGUUACCAUUGUUGUUAAUCUUUAGAUACAUUGUUUUUAGAAGUAUAAUGCUAUAUAGUGCCCUUAUUAUAUACUGGCAU